rnacentral:rRNA from 1 species
GACGGAGGGUGCUAGCGUUGUUCGGAUUUACUGGGCGUAAAGGGCGCGUAGGCGGCCUGAUCAGUCGGGUGUGAAAGCCCGGGGCUCAACCCCGGAACGGCAUCCGAGACGGUCAGGCUGGAGACCGGGAGAGGAGGGUGGAAUAGCCAGUGUAGAGGUGAAAUUCGUAGAUAUUGGCUGGAACACCGGUGGCGAAAGCGGCGCUCUGGCCCGGUUCUGACGCUGAGGCGCGAAAGCGUGGGGAGCAAACAGG